CAGAAACCAAGGUACUUCUCGGGCUCCCUGCUGGGCAAUCUGCAAACUUUAUUUCAGGAGUCCUGCUGACAGCUGGAUAUAUUAGACCCACCCACUUGAGAAUUAACCAACUCGGUGAUUAUAAGACUGACAGAGAAAAUAAACCUUCUCCCGUGGGAGAACCAAGUCACCUAUGAGGAGAACAAGGCGUUCUUGGCUCCCACCGUGAGUGGAGCCACUGAAGCAGGAACACACGGUGGCCAUGAAUGACAGCGGGUGCCAUGAACGACGGCAGGCAUCUUUGUUCCUCAGGCAAG
rnacentral:lncRNA from 1 species